AUUAAUUAUCAAGUUGGGACUCCAGUGUCAACACUUACUCAUCACUAAUAAUAUUCAGAUGUAAGUCAUUUGAUAUGGGUAUCAUAUGUAUAGCUCCCAAUCUCUUGGAAUCUCUUUUCUUCAAGAACGUCUUAGAAUUGGAGGACAUUCCAACUUCAUACCAGAAACCUGAAAACUGAAAGGAAUCACUCAUGUGGAAGAAGCCUAUUUGUUUAACCUGGAAAAUUCAGGGAAGACAACUCUGCAGUUCACAGGAAAGAUCUGGAAACAACAAGGUUUUAUUACUACAUCAGGAAAACCAAUUGCUCAUGCAGAAAUAAUAAAUGAAUUGUUGGAAGCUAUCCAGAAGCCUAAACAGCUAGCGGUAAUCCAUUGUAGAAGUCAUACUAAUAGAAGAGAUUCAGUUGCUAAAGGAAGUCAUAGAGCUGAUUAUAACUGCGAAAUUUGUGGCCA
rnacentral:lncRNA from 1 species